CACUCUGGCAGUUACUAUACAUACAAGAUAUAUCACACUUUCGUGAUACAUGAUUGAAUAAUAUGGAAUUAACAGUAAAUCAACCAGAACAAACGUUAAACGCAGCAAUCUACUGCAUCAUGUAUAAAUGCAAUAUAGUUAAUUGUUGAAUAAAAUGCAAGAUUGACUGUACAUGCGUGUUACGAAGAAUGAAAGAUGCAGUGCAACGCACAAUUUAAGAAUAUUGCGAGUGAGGUACGAAAUUAUAUCGACAUUUACGCAUAUAUAUGUAUAUGUCGUUUACAUAAAUAAAAUUACAUGUUCCGCCAUAUUGCGCGCGCACAUAUCUAAA